GAAAUUUAACGGAUUUGGCGGCAAGAUAGCCCCUUAGAGGAACCUGCCCUAUAAACGAUGAACCACGAGGGACUCUACUUUCUUUGGUAGUCAGUUUGUAUAUCGCUGUUGUCAGUUAGAUUCUUGAGAAUAUUUUCGUUUAUGAAAAGUUCAUUGACUUCAAGUAAAGGUGCAGCUUAUAAGGAAGAUAGAGGUGGGUUACAUUUAUGAGAAUAAAACGGAAAGGAUGGAUGAAACAAUCCUUGAAGGUGGAUUUAACUGUAAAACUUAAGUAGGUUUGGUGAGAGCUCUAUCUUGUGUACACACCGCCCGUC
rnacentral:rRNA from 1 species